rnacentral:tRNA from 1 species
GCCGUUGUAGCUCAGUGGUAGAGCACUUCCUUGGUAAGGAAGAGGUCGACAGUUCAAUUCUGUUCAACGGCU